GAGGGAAGUCAGGGCUGGAACUGGAGGCAGAAACCUGGAAGAAUGCGGCUUGCUGACUGGCUCUUUCUCAGGUGGGAAUUUGCACAUCCGCUGAAGGUCCCUGCCAACUGUUGGUUUUUUGCCGGGUCAUUGAAGAGCCAGCGGCCAAUGGCUGGGAAAGGGGAGAGAGGCGGGACUUUUUGGAUUCGCAGGCAAGAAAUGCUAAGGAAAGAAGGGAAAGAAUGACCAGGAUUGGGAAGCAGAGCGAUCAGACUAAAGAGCCCACUAACAGAGCUCUAUGGAGGGUGCAGAGCUGGGAGCAUCGAGUGGCCUAUAAAUAUUUACCGCAACACCAGAUGACAUCAACUACUCAACUAAGACACCUUCUUCAGAACUCUUGGCUCCUUCUCCAGUACCAUGUCUCCUUGUGCGUCACCAUGCUUCUGGCCAUGAUGCCAAGGACUGAGCCUCUGAACUGUAAGCCUGCCCCAAUUAAACGCUUCCCUUCAUAAGCGUUAUCGCGGUCAUGGUAUCUCUUCACAGCAAUAAAGCCCCAACUGAAACAAGCCCUAAUCCCUGCUCUCGGUGGAUCGCAGAGGGGUAAGCUUCCAGUUUGUCCCCCUAAACCAUGUUGGCAGAUGUGACUAUUCCCUGCCACGUCUAGUUUUCUCCCUCUUGGGAUAAUGUAGAGGACCAGUCACACCAGGCCAGUCCCUGCAGAGGUCAGGAUCAAGUGCAGACAAGCUGGACUUUAUGAGAAUCUAUGCUGGUCUCUC
rnacentral:lncRNA from 1 species